rnacentral:rRNA from 1 species
GACCGAACCGACUAAUGUUGAAAAAUUAGCGGAUGACUUGUGGCUGGGGGUGAAAGGCCAAUCAAACCGGGAGAUAGCUGGUUCUCCCCGAAAGCUAUUUAGGUAGCGCCUCGUGAACUCAUCUUCGGGGGUAGAGCACUGUUUCGACUAGGGGGUCAUCCCGACUUACCAACUCGAUGCAAACUACGAAUACCGAAGAAUGUUAUCACGGGAGACACACGGCGGGUGCUAACGUUCGUCGUGAAGAGGGAAACAACCCAGACCGCCAGCUAAGGUCCCAAAGUCAUAGUUAAGUGGGAAACGAAGUGGGAAGGCUCAGACAGCCAGGAUGUUGGCUUAGAAGCAGCCAU